GUACUUUUUUUUUUUUUUUUUUUUUUUUUUUUUUUUUUUUUUUUUUUUUUUUUUUUUUUUAGACGGGCACUGUUGAAAUGAGCGGUCAG
rnacentral:ribozyme from 1 species